GACGAACGCUGGCGGCGUGCUUAACACAUGCAAGUCGAGCGCCCGUAGCAAUACGGGAGCGGCAGACGGGUGAGUAACACGUGGGAACGUGCCCUUUGGUUCGGAAUAACUCAGGGAAACUUGAGCUAAUACCGGAUAAGUCCGUAAGGAGAAAGAUUUAUCGCCGAAGGAGCGGCCCGCGUCCGAUUAGCUAGUUGGUGAGGUAAUGGCUCACCAAGGCUACGAUCGGUAGCUGGUCUGAGAGGAUGACCAGCCACACUGGGACUGAGACACGGCCCAGACUCCUACGGGAGGCAGCAGUGGGGAAUAUUGGACAAUGGGGGCAACCCUGAUCCAGCCAUGCCGCGUGGAUGAUGAAGGCCUUAGGGUUGUAAAGUCCUUUUAACGGGGAAGAUAAUGACGGUACCCGUAGAAUAAGCCCCGGCUAACUUCGUGCCAGCAGCCGCGGUAA
rnacentral:rRNA from 1 species